UAGGGAAUCUUCCACAAUGGACGCAAGUCUGAUGGAGCAACGCCGCGUGAGUGAAGAAGGUUUUCGGAUCGUAAAGCUCUGUUGUUGGUGAAGAAGGAUAGAGGCAAUAACUGGUCUUUAUUUGACGGUAAUCAACCAGAAAGUCACGGCUAACUACGUGCCAGCAGCCGCGGUAAUACGUAGGUGGCAAGCGUUGUCCGGAUUUAGUGGGCGUAAAGCGAGCGCAGGCGGAAUGAUAAGACUGCUGUGAAAGCCCACGGCUCAACCGUGGACCUGCAUCGGAAACUGUCAUUCUUGAGUGCAGAAGAGGAUAGUGGAAUUCCAUGUGUAGCGGUGGAAUGCGUAGAUAUAUGGAAGAACACCAGUGGCGAAGGCGGCUCUCUGGUCUGCAACUGACGCUGAGGCUCGAAAGCAUGGGUAGCGAACAGG
rnacentral:rRNA from 1 species